rnacentral:rRNA from 1 species
UACGAAGGGAGCUAGCGUUGUUCGGAAUCACUGGGCGUAAAGCGCACGUAGGCGGAUUUGUAAGUCAGGGGUGAAAUCCCGGGGCUCAACCUCGGAACUGCCUUUGAUACUGCAAAUCUCGGGUCCGAUAGAGGUGGGUGGAAUUCCUAGUGUAGAGGUGAAAUUCGUAGAUAUUAGGAAGAACACCGGUGGCGAAGGCGGCCCACUGGAUCGGUACUGACGCUGAGGUGCGAAAGCGUGGGGAGCAAACAGG